rnacentral:lncRNA from 1 species
CGCGAUUCCAUUUGCCUAGCUCUUCAUCCCGCAACAAAUGCUUACAAACAAAAACAACACUAGUGCAAGGGAUUAGUGGUAAGUAGUCCGGAGGUUAGUUGUUCUUCCUAGAUUAUCUCUAGUUUCUAGUUUGGAUUUAGAUGGAACCUCACCUUGAUUUUAGAAUUCUUAAACCUAGUUGGACUGCACUCCACUAAUUUCUCUAUGGAAUUCUUGCAGCACUAAUCUUCUCACACUAGCCCUUGAGAUCUUGAUCAAUCUCCUUAGUUCCCACCCUCUUCUCUACUCUUUCUAUGCUCUCCUUCUCUCCCUAACUCUCUCGAGACAUUUGGUGGCC